CUUUGGGGGGCUGCGGGCGAUUAUCGGGCAUCACCAGUGCCAGUUAAGACGCUUAGUCUAGACACAAUCCUUAAAAAAAAUGUAUAUUUGUUCUGCACACACACACCAACAUAUUUGCUCUUUGCCGCUCUCACGCACACAGUCCCAUUUCGUAACGCGACCAGCAACUGUCAAAAAUUUUCAUUUACACGUGUUGAGUGCAUCACCAGCUUCAACAACAAAAGCUCGCGAACGUUCCGGGACGCGUUCCGAAGUUCCCCCAGUCGCGUUUCCCCGGUUUCCUCGAACCAGAAGUCGUCCACCCAACGAUAAAAGAACCCGGGCCCGCGGGGUUUGUAACAAGUCCUUCUUGAACGCAACGACUUCUACCUGAUUUCUAAGAACGUCCGCCAGGGAACCGUUUCGCCCACCUCAUACAACUGGACGCGGACAAGCUGCAACAUACUCGUUGCCCGUGUUGUCGGAAUGGAGCAACAAUCGGAAACUGAAGGGGGGGCAGACCGGCAAGAAAAAUCAGUUUAGAAAAAGCCACGGCUGGGGAGCUCAAUUCCGUCUCGCGGGAAGCGGGUUACGCCGGUGAAAAAGACGUCGCUGACGUUUGCCAUUUUCGGCACCAUGAACCGGAUUGGGGUGCAGAAGAUUUGGGGGAGGACCGGAGAAGCAGCAGCUUAGGCGAUGCAAAACGUCAACCGCAACCCGCUGUCAAACGUCUCCCGACGACAAUGACCGCACCGAGGAACCCGCAAACGUGAAACCCCUCAUCAUUUCGUUCUCAAUACCGCGUCCGCCCAACAAAGUGAAUCUCCUCUUCGAGUGUGUCAUGCAGCAGCGUCCCCUCAAUUCGACGUCCCAGACCGUACCAAGCUGCCCAACGUGACCCUCGGGUUCUCCUCCCUGGGGGCGUCCUCGCCGUGGCGAGUUCAAAACGAAAACGUUCUGCCGCGAACCUUCUAUUUUACCGAUCGAAGGACCUGCUGCCAUGGUUUGAGAGAGACGUCAUCAUUCGGGACCAGUCGCCGGUUGUGGAGCAGCCGGUUUCGCCGGCCAAGCGACAACCUUCAAGUACUAGUUUGACCGGAACGAUACUGCGGUGCCGAAUUCCUAGCAACAUCCUCCAUCAGCACCAGUUGUUCCAGAGAUUCUGCACAGCGGGGUUCAGUGUGUGGUUCCCGUUCCUUCCUGGGCUCUCGAAUAACCCAAAUCCGGUCAUCAACAGUCAAGUGAAACAAAAAAAUAACAAAAACACACAGCUACACAAUAUGAAAGUAAAAAAAAAACUGAAAUUUAUAAAUACAUAAACACAAAAAAAGAAGGGAAAACAUAAAAUCUAAAACCACAAAAGAAAAUAUAAAAAUACACAACUACAAUACAAAACACAUAACUAAAAUUAAAAAAACGCAAAGAACACAUAAAAAAAUCGAAAACGAAUACGAAAACACAAAAUACUAACAUACAAAAAUUCAGAAUACAAAAAUACGAGAAUUACAAAACUAAAAAAAUACAAAAAAAACCGUAGAUACACAAACUAGAUUUUACUAAAUUUUUCAUAAUUUACCUAAUUUAACUAAAUUAAUUCAAAUUGAUCUUAACUCAACAAAAUUUAACUGAAUUUUAUAAAAUUUAACUUAAUUAAGCUUAAUUUAUCUAAAUUGAACUUGAUUCAUCUAAAUUUAUCUGAAUUUUAUAUAAUUUAACUAAAUUGAACUUAAUUCAUACAUUUUUUUAAAUAUAUCCAAA